ACCUUGGAGGUCUAGUGGUUAGGCCUCUGUGCAAUCACCACUGUGGCCCGGGUUUGAUUCCUGGCCAGGGAA